rnacentral:rRNA from 1 species
AAGUCGUAACAAGGUUUCCGUAGGUGAACCUGCGGAAGGAUCAUUGUUGAAAUCCUCAAUGAGGACUGUGAAUGUGUCAAUGAGCAUUGCCUUGUCGAGCCUGCCUUACAAUGAUGCAGUCCUUGCCCUCCCGGUGAGGACGACAGACUAGAACCUCCGGCGUGAUGGGCGCCAAGGAGCAUGGAAGUAGCGGACGGCUAGAACUUUGUCUCAGCCGUGCUGUGGUUACUCAGAACCGAAUGACUCUCGGCAAUGGAUAUCUCGGCCCUUACAUCGAUGAAGAACGUAGCAAAAUGUGAUACAUGGUGUGAAUUGCAGAAUCCCGCGAACCAUUGAAUUUUUGAACGCAAGUUGCGCCCAAGGCCUUUUGGCCGAGGGCAUGCCUGCCUGGGCGUCGUGCGAUUGUCGCUCCGUGCGCCCCUAGCCCCACACACGGGUGGUGGAGCUGGAUGCGUACAUUGGACCCCCGUGCACAUGGGCAUGGUCGCCCGAAGAGUGUGCUUUUGCUGAUGGUCGGUCGGACACAACGGGUGGUGGUGCCAUGAGCAAUCUGAAUGUUGUGCCUCGGCCUAGGAGAUGUUCCUUGAUGUCCCCUAUCCCACCAUAAUUGCAGGUCUUGGAUUGUGAUCCCAGGUCAGGCAGGGCCACCUGCUGAGUUUAAGCAUAUCAAUAAGCGGAGG